UACGGGGGGGGCAAGCGUUGUUCGGAAUUACUGGGCGUAAAGGGUUCGUAGGUGGCCAACUAAGUCAUACGUGAAAUCCCCAGGCUUAACCUGGGAACUGCGUGUGAUACUGGAUGGCUUGAAUUCGGGAGAGGGAUGCAGAAUUCCAGGUGUAGCGGUGAAAUGCGUAGAUAUCUGGAGGAAUACCGGUGGCGAAGGCGGCAUCCUGGACCGACAUUGACGCUGAACGGCGAAAGCUAGGGGAGCAAACGGG
rnacentral:rRNA from 1 species